UACGUAGGGGGCAAGCGUUGUUCGGAUUCAUUGGGCGUAAAGGGUGCGUAGGUGGCGCGCUAAGUCAGGUGUGAAAUUUCGGAGCUUAACUCCGAAACUGCAUUUGAUACUGGCGUGCUUGAGGACUGGAGAGGAGACUGGAAUUCAUGGUGUAGCAGUGAAAUGCGUAGAGAUCAUGAGGAAGACCAGUGGCGAAGGCGGGUCUCUGGACAGUUCCUGACGCUGAGGCACGAAGGCCAGGGGAGCAAACGGG
rnacentral:rRNA from 1 species